rnacentral:rRNA from 1 species
UGGCGGCAGGCUUAACACAUGCAAGUCGAGCGGAUGAAGGGAGCUUGCUCCUGGAUUCAGCGGCGGACGGGUGAGUAAUGCUUAGGAAUCUGCCUAUUAGUGGGGGACAACAGUUGGAAACGACUGCUAAUACCGCAUACGCCCUACGGGGGAAAGGAGGGGAUCUUCGGACCUUUCGCUAAUAGAUGAGCCUAAGUCAGAUUAGCUAGUUGGUGGGGUAAAGGCCUACCAAGGCGACGAUCUGUAGCGGGUCUGAGAGGAUGAUCCGCCACACUGGGACUGAGACACGGCCCAGACUCCUACGGGAGGCAGCAGUGGGGAAUAUUGGACAAUGGGGGCAACCCUGAUCCAGCCAUGCCGCGUGUGUGAAGAAGGCCUUUUGGUUGUAAAGCACUUUAAGCGAGGAGGAGGCUCUUCUAGUUAAUACCUAGGAUGAGUGGACGUUACUCGCAGAAUAAGCACCGGCUAACUCUGUGCCAGCAGCCGCGGUAAUACAGAGGGUGCGAGCGUUAAUCGGAUUUACUGGGCGUAAAGCGUACGUAGGCGGCUUUUUAAGUCGGAUGUGAAAUCCCUGAGCUUAACUUAGGAAUUGCAUUCGAUACUGGGAAGCUAGAGUAUGGGAGAGGAUGGUAGAAUUCCAGGUGUAGCGGUGAAAUGCGUAGAGAUCUGGAGGAAUACCGAUGGCGAAGGCAGCCAUCUGGCCUAAUACUGACGCUGAGGUACGAAAGCAUGGGGAGCAAACAGGAUUAGAUACCCUGGUAGUCCAUGCCGUAAACGAUGUCUACUAGCCGUUGGGGCCUUUGAGGCUUUAGUGGCGCAGCUAACGCGAUAAGUAGACCGCCUGGGGAGUACGGUCGCAAGACUAAAACUCAAAUGAAUUGACGGGGGCCCGCACAAGCGGUGGAG